rnacentral:rRNA from 1 species
GUGUGCCUACGGGGCGCAGCAGUGAGGAAUAUUGGUCAAUGGCCGAGAGGCUGAACCAGCCAAGUCGCGUGAGGGAUGACGGUCCUAUGGAUUGUAAACCUCUUUUGCCGGGGAGCAAAAAGCGGUACGUGUACCGCAUCGAGAGUACCCGGAGAAAAAGCAUCGGCUAACUCCGUGCCGGCAGCCGCGGUAAUACGGAGGAUGCGAGCAUUAUCCGGAUUUAUUGGGUUUAAAGGGUGCGCAGGCGGCGCGUUAAGUCAGCGGUAAAAUUUCGGGGCUCAACCCCGACGAGCCGUUGAAACUGG